GAUGAACGCUGGCGGCGUGCCUAAUACAUGCAAGUCGAGCGAACGGACGAGAAGCUUGCUUCUCUGAUGUUAGCGGCGGACGGGUGAGUAACACGUGGAUAACCUACCUAUAAGACUGGGAUAACUUCGGGAAACCGGGGCUAAUACCGGAUAAUAUUUUGAACCGCAUGGUUCAAAAGUGAAAGACGGUCUUGCUGUCACUUAUAGAUGGAUCCGCGCUGCAUUAGCUAGUUGGUAAGGUAACGGCUUACCAAGGCAACGAUGCAUAGCCGACCUGAGAGGGUGAUCGACCACACUGGAACUGAGACACGGUCCAGACUCCUACGGGAGGCAGCAGUAGGGAAUCUUCCGCAAUGGGCGAAAGCCUGACGGAGCAACGCCGCGUGAGUGAUGAAGGUCUUCGGAUCGUAAAACUCUGUUAUUAGGGAAGAACAUAUGUGUAAGUAACUGUGCACAUCUUGACGGUACCUAAUCGGAAAGCCACGGCUAACUACGUG
rnacentral:rRNA from 1 species